rnacentral:ncRNA from 1 species
UGACGCUAGGGGCGCGCAUAUGCUGAGAGGUGUUAUCACCGACCCUUAUUACUUGAACUGGAUAAUACCAGCGGAAGGAAGCUUUU